UGGGGAAUUUUGGACAAUGGACGCAAGUCUGAUCCAGCCAUGCCGCGUGCGGGAAGAAGGCCUUCGGGUUGUAAACCGCUUUUGUCAGGGAAGAAACGAGUUUCUCUAAUACAGAGACUUAAUGACGGUACCUGAAGAAUAAGCACCGGCUAACUACGUGCCAGCAGCCGCGGUAAUACGUAGGGUGCAAGCGUUAAUCGGAAUUACUGGGCGUAAAGCGUGCGCAGGCGGUUAUGCAAGACAGAUGUGAAAUCCCCGGGCUCAACCUGGGACCUGCAUUUGUGACUGCAUAGCUAGAGUACGGCAGAGGGGGAUGGAAUUCCGCGUGUAGCAGUGAAAUGCGUAGAUAUGCGGAGGAACACCGAUGGCGAAGGCAAUCCCCUGGGCCUGUACUGACGCCCAUGCACGAAAGCGUGGGGAGCAAACA
rnacentral:rRNA from 1 species